UACGUAGGGUGCGAGCGUUAAUCGGAAUUACUGGGCGUAAAGCGUGCGCAGGCGGUUUUGUAAGCCAGAUGUGAAAGCCCCGGGCUUAACCUGGGAAUGGCAUUUGGGACUGCAAGGCUUGAGUGCGGCAGAGGAGACUGGAAUUCCUGGUGUAGCAGUGAAAUGCGUAGAUAUCAGGAGGAAUAUCGAUGGCGAAGGCAGGUCUCUGGGCUGACACUGACGCUCAUGCACGAAAGCGUGGGGAGCAAACAGG
rnacentral:rRNA from 1 species